CCUACGGGUGGCUGCAGUGGGGAAUAUUGCACAAUGGGCGCAAGCCUGAUGCAGCCAUGCCGCGUGUGUGAAGAAGGCCUCCGGGUUGUAAAGCACUUUCAGCGGGGAGGAAGGCGUUAAGGUUAAUAACCUUGUCGAUUGACGUUACCCGCAGAAGAAGCACCGGCUAACUCCGUGCCAGCAGCCGCGGUAAUACGGAGGGUGCAAGCGUUAAUCGGAAUUACUGGGCGUAAAGCGCACGCAGGCGGUCUGUCGAGUCGGAUGUGAAAUCCCCGGGCUCAACCUGGGAACUGCAUUCGAAACUGGCAGGCUAGAGUCUUGUAGAGGGGGGUAGAAUUCCAGGUGUAGCGGUGAAAUGCGUAGAGAUCUGGAGGAAUACCGGUGGCGAAGGCGGCCCCCUGGGCAAAGACUGACGCUCAGGUGCGAAAGCGUGGGGAGCAAACAGGAUUAGAUACCCUUGUAGUC
rnacentral:rRNA from 1 species